CAGGCCCAUUUUGCCAUACAUCUUUGAAUACAAAUUCCUCAUUCCUAUAUCCCUGCCUUCACCCCUUCUUCUCCAUGCCCUCACUUGAAAAGCCAUCACCUGUUCUUCACCUGUCCGGAUCCUUGCUGAUAAAAUUCAAGUCCCAGUUCCUCUGUAAAACUGGUCUCCCACUUCAACUAACAGCAUGUUCUCUCUCUUCCUCUUCUGAACUCCUUUUAUCUGUUCUGUUUGAUACUUAUUAAUAUAUUAUCUUGAACUGUUGCUU
rnacentral:lncRNA from 1 species